GUGUCCGGCUGUGUGCGCGGUGCCUAUCUGGGUCUGUGUGUGUCCGGCUGUGCCUGGCGGGUGUGUGAGGCGCGGCCCCCAGCCCCCUACACGUUGAUCUUAUUCGAUCGGCCGGGCUAGGCCCAGCCGAGAUGAGAAGAAAGAGCUCCGCGAAGCCCGCGGGCGCUGUGCGGUAGCUGGCGGCGGGCGGGAUGAGUCGAUCAGAUAGGCGAGGCUGCGGCCUGUGAGCGCCCUGCGAUUCUGACCCGC